rnacentral:rRNA from 1 species
UCCUACAGCCACUUGCCAAGUACAAGUCAAUUGCAUCUCUUGUCUGAGUCUGAUCUCUGAAGCUAAGAGGGUUGGGCCUGGUUAGUACUUGGAUGGGAAGCUACCUAGGAAGACCAGGCGCUGUAUGCG